CACCUAUGGGUUACCCUUCCAAAGAUGGUUCUGAAGAGCAAAGGAUUCCUGAUCAAACUACAAUUAGGGGUGAUGGUUUCUGGAAGGGAUGUUGUGCUGCUAUAUGUUGCUGCUGUGCCAUAGAUAUCUGCUUUUAAGUUCUUACUGAAUUAUAGAUCAGAUUGUGCUUAUUUUUUACCGCAAAGUUUUAACUCUCUUUCUUCUUAUGAAUUCUUUGUAGUUGGUAUAGAAG
rnacentral:lncRNA from 1 species